rnacentral:rRNA from 1 species
GACGAACGCUGGCGGCGUGCCUAAUACAUGCAAGUAGAACGCUGAAGAGAGGAGCUUGCUCUUCUUGGAUGAGUUGCGAACGGGUGAGUAACGCGUAGGUAACCUGCCUUGUAGCGGGGGAUAACUAUUGGAAACGAUAGCUAAUACCGCAUAACAAUGGAUGACACAUGUCAUUUAUUUGAAAGGGGCAAUUGUUCCACUACAAGAUGGACCUGCGUUGUAUUAGCUAGUAGGUGAGGUAAUGGCUCACCUAGGCGACGAUACAUAGCCGACCUGGGAGGGUGAUCGGCCACACUGGGACUGAGACACGGCCCAGACUCCUACGGGAGGCAGCAGGAGGGAAUCUUCGGCAAUGGGGGCAACCCUGACCGAGCAACGCCGCGGGAGUGAAGAAGGUUUUCGGAUCGUAAAGCUCUGUUGUAAGUCAAGAACGGGUGUGAGAGUGGAAAGUUCACACUGUGACGGUAGCUUACCAGAAAGGGACGGCUAACUACGUG